CCUUCAAUGACGAUUAUAUCAAAGUGACUUUCGUUCUUCUGAGUUUGCUGAAGCCACAUUUCAGGUACUGAGAAGG